GGAAGAGGUGGAUGGAGUGGUGGAAGGAGUGGUGGACGAGGCGGUGGUGAUGGUAGAAGUGGCGGGAGAUUUGGAAGUGGUGGACGAUUUGGCGGGAGAGGACGUGGUGGUGAUCGUGGUGGCAGAGGUGGCAGAGGAGGACGUGGAAAUUUUAACAGACCUAACAUGACUCCAUCUGGAAAGAAAACCACAUUUGGUGAUGAUGAAUGAAAGAGAGGUCCAAAUUAAUGGUGUGUUCCCCCUACAAACUCUCAAAAAUGAUGGCAUCUCAAUGUCUCUUAAGGAGGGAAAAAUGUAAAAGCAAUUGUUGGGGGAAUCGAAGUUUUGGCAGUUGGAGAAAAAAGACAUGUUAGUAUUUUAGUAGUAGCCGAGUGUGCUUCUUUUAUGAAACUCUUUAAUUUUUAUUGUUCUUUAAUUAUUAUUUUCUCUCCUAAAAUUGAUAUGUUCACUGACAACUCUUAUAUUUAGCAUAAUACAAUCAAAU
rnacentral:misc_RNA from 1 species